rnacentral:rRNA from 1 species
UACGUAGGGUGCGAGUGUUGUCCGGAAUUACUGGGCGUAAAGAGCUCGUAGGUGGUUUGUCACGUCGUCUGUGAAAUUCCGGGGCUUAACCUCGGGCGUGCAGGCGAUACGGGCAAUACUUGAGUGCUGUAGGGGAGACUGGAAUUCCUGGUGUAGCGGUGAAAUGCGCAGAUAUCAGGAGGAACACCGAUGGCGAAGGCAGGUCUCUGGGCAGUAACUGACGCUGAGGAGCGAAAGCAUGGGUAGCGAACAGGAUUAGA